AUUGAACGCUGGCGGCAGGCCUAACACAUGCAAGUCGAGCGGAUGAAGGGAGCUUGCUCCUGGAUUCAGCGGCGGACGGGUGAGUAAUGCCUAGGAAUCUGCCUGGUAGUGGGGGAUAACGUCCGGAAACGGGCGCUAAUACCGCAUACGUCCUGAGGGAGAAAGUGGGGGAUCUUCGGACCUCACGCUAUCAGAUGAGCCUAGGUCGGAUUAGCUAGUUGGUGGGGUAAAGGCCUACCAAGGCGACGAUCCGUAACUGGUCUGAGAGGAUGAUCAGUCACACUGGAACUGAGACACGGUCCAGACUCCUACGGGAGGCAGCAGUGGGGAAUAUUGGACAAAGGGCGAAAGCCUGAUCCAGCCAUGCCGCGUGUGUGAAGAAGGUCUUCGGAUUGUAAAGCACUUUAAGUUGGGAGGAAGGGCAGUAAGUUAAUACCUUGCUGUUUUGACGUUACCAACAGAAUAAGCAUCGGCUAACUUCGUG
rnacentral:rRNA from 1 species